AAGCUGUUGUCUGAACCGCUUCACACCCAUGCAGGGAUCCGGGCUUAGAAGGAGCUAAACAGGGACAGACAUGAGAUCUAGGCCGGUGGAGACUCCAAUGAGUUUGGUUUAAAGUGGGGGAAACACCUCUGAGCCGACUAGCGCUUCCGCACCCGCACCCGUCAUAAAGAGCUGUCUGAGCGCCUCCACCCAGGCUGGCUGCUGGCCUCUUUAAAAUCAGCCCUGGCGACCUGUGAUUCUUUUUUUUCUCUGUGCCAUGGAUGGCCUGGCAGCCAAUUGCUGCUGGCCCUGGAGCUGGCUGCAGCCAACUUGCCCUGCCUGUGACCCGCAAAUGGCUCGCCCUGGCUGGAUGAAUUGGAAAGCCAACUUACUUCUGGAAGUUCAGCCUGAUCUGAUCCUGCUUGUCAGUGAUGAAGUGAAAACAAAAUACUAGGAGGCCCACACCAGGGUUUCUCUGACAGAGAGGACUGACAAGGCAGUAACAGCUCUGAGGACCGUCAGCGUUACCGGAAAAAUAAAACCUGAAGGCUUGGAGGCCGAACAAUGAACCUACAGGCCUCUCACGAUCCUGCUUCAGUUGAGCCUCUGCUCAGAAAUCUUCAGGAAGAAGUCAACCCAAGACCCCAGCUUCCUCGGGCCCCACCUCUGUGCCCCCUGCUGACUGAAGGUGGUUGGCAAAGCCUCUCCCAGCUGAGAAACCUGCUGGAGGCUCUCAGGGCUGUGGAGUGGCUCAAGCUACUUCCAGUUUCUGUAGUUCCCGCUUUAUGAAAAGGAAAGAAAGAAGAACUGGCUCCUACAUUGUCACCACUGUGUGCUACAGAUACUCAUAGUGAGGUGCCAUGGAUGCCAAAAG
rnacentral:lncRNA from 1 species